AUUGAACGCUGGCGGUAUGCCUUACACAUGCAAGUCGAACGGCAGCACAGGUGCUUCUUGCUGGUACGGGGUGCCAGUCGGGUACGUAUUAGAUAUGCAUCUGUAUCGACGUGUUCGUUAGGGCGGACGUAGGGGGACUUACACUACUACCGCAUACCGGCUACGAGCGAAAGAACUUGAUCUUCGGACCUUUCGCGUUUGCAUGAGCCGAUGUCGGAUUAGCUAGUUGGCGGGGUAAAGGCCCACCAAGGCGACGAUCAGUAGCUGGUCUGAGAGGAUGAUCAGCCACACUGGAACUGAGACACGGUCCAGACUCCUACGGGAGGCAGCAGUGGGGAAUAUUGGACAAUGGGCGAAAGCCUGAUCCAGCAAUGCCGCGUGUGUGAAGAAGGCCUUCGGGUUGUAAAGCACUUUUGUUCGGAAAGAAAAGCAGCAGGUUAAUACCCUGCGGUGAUGACGGUACCGAAAGAAUAAGCACCGGCUAACUACGUG
rnacentral:rRNA from 1 species